rnacentral:sRNA from 1 species
ACAAAACAAAAAACGAUGGGCUUUCUGUCAUGUGCCUGAGAACUGGGAGGAAGCUGGAGAAAAGAUGCCCUCUGAAUCUUUGUGUUUGGCUGCCCAGGCUCGCCUUGACACCGAAUGGUUGAAAACAGAUAUACAGAUGAUAGUGUCGAACCAAGUGGAACAAAGAAAGAAGAUCUGAAUGACAAAGAGAAAAAAGAUGAAGACGAAACUCCUGCACCUGUAUAUAGGGCCAAGUCAAUUCUGGAGACCUGGGUGUGGGUCAAGCAACCAGGUAAUCUUCUGAGUUUUGACACUUUGGAAAGCUUGAUCUGACGCUCCUUUUCUAAAUAACUUGGAUGGAUUAUUCGUAUUUUUUGGUAACAAUUUUAAAAAAUGUAAUUAAAAAAAUUUAAAUAUCGUGGUAAAAUAUACAUACCGUAAAACUUGCCA